rnacentral:rRNA from 1 species
AACGAACGCUGGCGGCAGGCUUAACACAUGCAAGUCGAACGCCCGUAGCAAUACGGGAGUGGCGGACGGGUGAGUAACGCGUGGGAACGUGCCCUGAGGUACGGAAUAACUGCGGGAAACUGCAGCUAAUACCGUAUGAGCCCCGCAAGGGGGAAAGAUUUAUCGCCUUAGGAGCGGCCCGCGUCGGAUUAGCUAGUUGGUGGGGUAACGGCCUACCAAGGCUUCGAUCCGUAGCUGGUCUGAGAGGACGAUCAGCCACACUGGGACUGAGACACGGCCCAGACUCCUACGGGAGGCAGCAGUGGGGAAUCUUGCGCAAUGGGGGCAACCCUGACGCAGCCAUGCCGCGUGAACGAUGAAGGCCUUAGGGUUGUAAAGUUCUUUUGCCCGUGACGAUGAUGACGGUAACGGGAGAAUAAGCUCCGGCUAACUUCGUGCCAGCCGCCGCCGUAAAAC